rnacentral:rRNA from 1 species
UACGGGGGGAGCAAGCGUUGUUCGGAUUUACUGGGCGUAAAGGGCGCGUAGGCGGCCACCGCAGGUCGACUGUGAAAUCUCCGGGCUUAACCCGGAAAGGUCAGCCGAUACUGCGGGGCUAGAGUGCAGAAGGGGCAACUGGAAUUCUCGGUGUAGCGGUGAAAUGCGUAGAUAUCGAGAGGAACACCUGCGGCGAAGGCGGGUUGCUGGGCUGACACGUGACGCUGAGGCGCGAAAGCUAGGGGAGCGAACGGG